GAGGAAGUGAGCUGCCAUGUACUAGGCCACGUGGCAAGGGCCUGGUUGGGGACCUCCAGGGGUUGAGAGCAUCCUCUGGACAACAUGGAAAAAGAAAAUGAAAAUGGUGACCUCAGCCCUAUAGCUAGAAGGAAUUGAAUCCUGUCAACAACGAUACUCAUCACUCACUGCAGAUGUUACUUUAAGACAUUCUGGAGCAGCGUCAUGUGCAGGAGAAAAUAGUAUCAUCUCAGCCUUCUAUGAAAUCAAGGCAAUAUGUGCGUAGUGCCUCCGCCCAUCUCUCUCUUGCUCCUGGUCUCAUCGUGACGGGCCUGGUCCUGCCUCACUUUAUGCCACGACUAAGAGCUCCCUGAGGCCUCUCCAGAAGCAGAUAUCACUAUGCUUCCUACACAGCCUGCAGAACCGAACAAUAAGGAAGUGAGUGCUUUUGUAAUUCCUGAACAACUGUGUCUUACACUUACUAAGGCCUUUGAGCUUAUACUGAAUUAUACCACCAGCUUUCCUAGGUCUUGAAGCUUACAGACAGCAGAUCUUGGGACUUCUCAGGCACCAUAAUCAAUCAUAGAUAAAUGAUCCAAUGAUUCGGAACUUGAAAAGUGGUAGCUUUAUGAAUUCUCCUUAAGAAGAAACCUGUGCCCUGAUCUUGCCUACUCACCCAAAGGCACUGUGAGAUAGCAUCAAAGGAACAGCUAGUAAGAGACACAGAGCCAGAAAUCAGGGAAGUAAAAUACACUUGACAUCUACGUUCGGAAAGAAAUUUUAGGAGGCAGAAGCAAAUGGAUCAGAAGCUGCUUAUAUUUUUGCAAGAUUACCAAAGAAACCAUUGGUGGAGAAAGUUCUGUGACCAACUUGUCUGAGUCUAGUAAGAUUGAACGCUCACACACAAGUUUCAUGAAGUGGGUUUGAUACUUACAGAUAAGCAGCAAGGACCAACAGAAGCUGAUGAUCUAUGGUGAACUUUUUCCCAAGGCUCCGGAAAGCUGCCUAAAGUAGAUGGAGUCUUCUCUGUGUGUGCCCCACUGGUCCUGCAGUUGAAGGAUCCGGUAAAGCAGCCUGCCCUUGGUUUUAUACUCCAGAGGAACGUGAUUCGCUGGACUAAAGCAUUGAAGUGCAUCCUGUUUCCGGGGGGCACUGGAACAGAGCCUGGUCUGUUCUAGCCAGUCCCUUUCUAUCUCAGGAUAACAUUCUACAGUUAUUCUUGAGAACUAUAAUCAAAUAAGCAGGGAGAACUGGGAAAGCAGAGGCUCAUUGUGGAACCCUCAAGGAGCAUGGGGUCGUCUUCAUCCCUCAGUUUAUAAAUGGCCAAGGAGAGUAAUGCAACAAAAACUUCUCAGAGUUAAAAGCCAGAGUUCCUAAAGAACCGUGGACAAAGGGUUCUGUCUAGUGGGCAGAAUUCAUCCAGCGAAGGUGCUUACUGCACUCCCAGCAUGUGCUUGGGAACUUUAUUAAAAUUCCUUCCUAUUGAGAUUUAAAUUGCUGUCCAGAAUUAUACAAUAUAAUGAAUGGGGGCAUUCAUUAUGUGUAUUCUAUGCCUUCUCCAUCAUUGCAUAUUCAGUCCUCGUGCUAGAGAGAGGCAGAUAAUCUACCUUUUAAAUUGAUAGGUCUCCUAACUACAGAGGGUCACAUCUGGAUCUGAUGGCACCUACAGAACUUGGACUCUGAGCGACAAUCAGUGACCAGGAAAUUUGGAACCCAGGUUUUCCCAACCUACAUCUACAAAAUGGAAUGGGUCUGAUUCGCAAGUUUUCAGAGAAAGAAGCCAACCUUAAUCAGACUGUGAUAUGAUGAGGAAAUAAAACUUGCUGUGCUAAUCAACUGA
rnacentral:lncRNA from 1 species